rnacentral:rRNA from 1 species
CCUACGGGCGGCAGCAGUGGGGAAUAUUGGACAAUGGGGGCAACCCUGAUCCAGCCAUGCCGCGUGUGUGAAGAAGGCCCUCGGGUUGUAAAGCACUUUCAGUGAGGAAGAACGCCUGGUGGUUAAUACCCAUCAGGAAAGACAUCACUCACAGAAGAAGCACCGGCUAACUCCGUGCCAGCAGCCGCGGUAAUACGGAGGGUGCGAGCGUUAAUCGGAAUUACUGGGCGUAAAGCGCGCGUAGGUGGCUUGAUAAGCCGGUUGUGAAAGCCCCGGGCUCAACCUGGGAACGGCCUCCGGAACUGUCAAGCUAGAGUGCAGGAGAGGAAGGUAGAAUUCCCGGUGUAGCGGUGAAAUGCGUAGAGAUCGGGAGGAAUACCAGUGGCGAAGGCGGCCUUCUGGACUGACACUGACGCUGAGGUGCGAAAGCGUGGGUAGCAAACAGGAUUAGAUACCCUUGUAGUC